rnacentral:rRNA from 1 species
GACGAACGCUGGCGGCGUGCCUAAUACAUGCAAGUCGAGCGGAUUCAUCCUUCGGGAUGGGUUAGCGGCGGACGGGUGAGUAACACGUAGGCAACCUGCCUGGAAGCCUGGGAUAACUAACGGAAACGUUAGCUAAUACCGGAUACACGGUUGGAUCGCUUGAUCCGAUUGGGAAAGAGGGUGUAAGCUCUCGCUUGCAG